GCCCCCGUAGCUUAGCCUGGUUAUAGCGCCCGGCUGAUAACCGGGAGGUCCCGGGUUCAAAUCCCGGCGGGGGCACCA
rnacentral:tRNA from 1 species